rnacentral:rRNA from 1 species
UACGUAGGGUCCGAGCGUUGUCCGGAAUUACUGGGCGUAAAGAGCUCGUAGGUGGUUUGUCGCGUUGUUCGUGAAAACUCACAGCUUAACUGUGGGCGUGCGGGCGAUACGGGCAGACUGGAGUACUGCAGGGGAGACUGGAAUUCCUGGUGUAGCGGUGGAAUGCGCAGAUAUCAGGAGGAACACCAGCGGCGAAGGCGGUGCUCUGGGCCGGAACUGACGCUGAGGAGCGAAAGCGUGGGUAGCGAACAGG